rnacentral:rRNA from 1 species
UACGGGGGGGGCAAGCGUUGUUCGGAAUUACUGGGCGUAAAGCGCACGUAGGCGGCUUUGUAAGUUAGAGGUGAAAGCCCAGGGCUCAACCCUGGAAUUGCCUUUAAGACUGCAUCGCUAGAAUUGUGGAGAGGUAAGUGGAAUUCCGAGUGUAGAGGUGAAAUUCGUAGAUAUUCGGAAGAACACCAGUGGCGAAGGCGACUUACUGGACACAUAUUGACGCUGAGGUGCGAAAGCGUGGGGAGCAAACAGG